GUGUCAGCCGCCGCGGUAAUACGGAGGGCGCGAGCGUUAAUCGGAAUCACUGGGCGUAAAGCGCGCGUAGGCGGUCUGAUAAGUCAGGCGUGAAAUCCCUCGGCUCAACCGGGGAACUGCGUUUGAUACUGUCUGACUUGAGUCCUGGAGAAGGUGGCGGAAUUCCUGGUGUAGGAGUGAAAUCCGUAGAUAUCAGGAGGAACACCGGUGGCGAAGGCGGCCACCUGGACAGGUACUGACGCUGAGGUGCGAAAGCGUGGGGAUCAAACAGGAUUAGAUACCCUGGUAGUCCACGCGGUAAACGAUGGAUGCUAGGUGUCGGGGAGCGAUCUUCGGCGCCGCAGCUAACGCAUUAAGCAUCCCGCCUGGGGAGUACGGUCGCAAGGCUGAAACUCAAAUAAAUUGACGG
rnacentral:rRNA from 1 species